rnacentral:rRNA from 1 species
GACAGAGGUCCCGAGCGUUAGGCGGAAUCACUGGGCUUAAAGCGUGUGUAGGCGGAUCGUUAAGUGCCUUGUGAAAUCCCACAGCUUAACUGUGGAACUGCUUGGUAUACUGCCAGUCUUGAGCCAGCUAGGGGCUACCGGAACAAAUGGUGGAGCGGUGAAAUGCGUAGAUAUCAUUUGGAACGCCAAUGGUGAAAACAGGUAGCUGGGGCUGUGCUGACGCUGAGACACGAAAGCCAGGGGAGCAAACGGG